AAGUAGCGAAGGUCAUGAUGUCACACUGCCAAGAAAAGCUUCUAGCCAGAGCAAUUUUACCCGUACCGCAAACCGACACAGGUAGUCGAGUGGAGAACACUCAGGUGAGCGAGAGAACUCUCGUUAAGGAACUCGGCAAAAUGACCCCGUAACUUCGGGAGAAGGGGUGCUGAUGGUAAAAGAUCAGCCGCAGUGAAUAGGCCCAAACAACUGUUUAUCAAAAACACAGGUAUCUGCAAAACCGUAAGAUGACGUAUAGGUGCUGACACCUGCCCGGUGCUGGAAGGUUAAGAGGAGAGCUUAGCGCAAGCGAAGGUUUGAAUUGAAGCCCCAGUAAACGGCGGCCGUAACUAUAACGGUCCUAAGGUAGCGAAAUUCCUUGUCGGGUAAGUUCCGACCUGCACGAAAGGUGUAAUGAUUUGGGCACUGUCUCAACGAGAGACUCGGUGAAAUUAUAAUACCCGUGAAGAUGCGGGUUACCCGCGACAGGACGGAAAGACCCCAUGGAGCUUUACUGUAGCUUGAUAUUGAGUAUUUGUUAAACAUGUACAGGAUAGGUAGGAGCCAGAGAAAGUAGGACGCUAGUCUUACUGGAGGCAAUGUUGGGAUACUACCCUUGUUUGAUGGAUCCUCUAACUCGCAGAGCUGAGCGUUCUGGAGGACAGUGUCAGGUGGGCAGUUUGACUGGGGCGGUCGCCUCCUAAAAUGUAACGGAGGCGCCCAAAGGUUCCCUCAGAAUGGUUGGAAAUCAUUCGCAGAGUGUAAAGGUAUAAGGGAGCUUGACUGCGAGAGGUACACCUCGAGCAGGGACGAAAGUCGGGCUUAGUGAUCUGGUGGUACUGCAUGGAAAGGCCAUCACUCAACGGAUAAAAGCUACCCUGGGGAUAACAGGCUUAUCUCCCCCAAGAGUUCACAUCGACGGGGAGGUUUGGCACCUCGAUGUCGGCUCGUCGCAUCCUGGGGCUGAAGUCGGUCCCAAGGGUUGGGCUGUUCGCCCAUUAAAGCGGCACGCGAGCUGGGUUCAGAACGUCGUGAGACAGUUCGGUCCCUAUCCGUCGUGGGCGUAGGAAAUUUGAGAGGAGCUGUCCUUAGUACGAGAGGACCGGGAUGGACAUACCGCUGGUGUACCAGUUGUCUUGCCAAAGGCAUCGCUGGGUAGCUAUGUAUGGAAGGGAUAAGCGCUGAAAGCAUCUAAGUGCGAAGCCCCCCUCAAGAUGAGAUUUCCGAUGCGUAAGCAGUAAGACACCUUAAAGACGAUGAGGUAGAUAGGCUAGGAGUGGAAGCAUAGCGAUAUGUGGAGCGGACUAGUACUAAUCAGUCGAGCACUUGACCAG
rnacentral:rRNA from 1 species